rnacentral:antisense_RNA from 1 species
UCCUCAAGUUGCUUAUAAUCUAGGUGAGGACACAUCUGAGAGAAUAACUAAUAGUUCAGUGAAGUUAAAAACAACAACAACAACAACAACAAAAACACAAAACCCUGAGGCUCAGAAGAUAAAUAUUUGCUGAAGAUCACUGUGCUUAUUAGAUGGGUGUUACUGAUUCUUACCUCAGAGAAGAGAAUGUCAUGGAGACAAAAUGAUCUGCUUAGAGUUCUGCACCCCCCAGCAUGGAGAGCAGAGCGCAAAGAUUUCUUCCGGACUCUCACAUUCCCCUUGGAAUCCAAGAACUGGUCUACUGUCACAACACUUUAGUACCCUCUUAGAUGGGGAUCUCACUCUGUUUCCCAGGCUGGUCUCAAACUCCUGGCUUCAAGCAAUCCUCCUGCUUUGGCCUCCCAAACUUCUGGGAUUACAGAUAUGAGCCACCACGGCUGGCUGACAGGCACCAAAUUCUAGGAGAGGACUUCAAUAGAGCUGGAGUGCAAUGGCACAAUCUCGGCUCACCGCAACCUCUGCCUCCCAGGUUCAAGCAAUUCUCCUGCCUCAGCCUCCCGAGUAGCUGGGAUUACAGCUCCCAAGGAGGCAGCAGAAACUGGGGUAAUCACAACGGUCAACAGCAGCAAAGGCAGCACUUUC